GAAAUGAGGAGCAGGGAAGCAGUGACUUACAUCCAAAGACAACUCAGCCACCUAAAGCAACAGAGACAUUUGAUUUUCCUUCUUCACUGGCAUCUGAAAGUGGGUUCCUCAGCCCUUUGAACCUUAAAGACUUGGCAGUCAGCCCUCCUACAGCUCAGUACCUGCCUCCCCAGAGCUUUUUCCUUCCACUGAAAACUGCAAAAUCUGACCUCAAGGCCUCAGCUUCUGAGGACACUUCCAGCUCCCCUCCGUAUAGAAAUACACAGGAUAGAGUGAAGGCCAUUCACUCCCUAGCCAGGGAGCUUGGUGAGCGGAUUGAGAUGGCAACUGAAAGACUGAGGGGAACAAGCGGGCUACAAGACUCUAACGACAAUGGAGAAGAGGAACAUCUACCUUUAGAACCUCCCAAUUGGUCUUCUCUACGGUCAAAGCCCAAGACACCUAAAAGUGAGGGAAACAGGACCAUGAACAUACAAACACUUCUGGGUGUUCAGAGUCCUAAUGGCGUAUGGAUUUCGUUAGACCGUGCACAGGAUAGCACUCUCGACUUGGGUAGCCCCGAAGGAGCAGAAGCCCAGAAAAGGAAGGAGCGGAUACAGUCUGACACAGCCGCUGUUGGUGAGGAGUUACCGUGGAGUUCCAAUUUGGUGAUGCAUGGGAAAGCCCUGAAAGAUGUAUGGAAAGGUUUUACAAUGAAGAAGGAAUCUGACAUGGAAACGUGCCUAUUGCGAGGAAAGCCGAUAUCCAGCGUAGCCUCUCCAUCUCCCAGAUUCCUCACUAGAAGUCCAGCGAGAGAACCAGCAAAUCAAAGGAAUCGCUCCAUAUUUGAUGCUCUUUCUGAAGCUCAGAAUCAAGUGGAAAUUAUUUCAUCCUCUCCUAGACAAAGUCUCAAAACAUCUCUCAGUCAUGGAUUUGAACCCUGCACUUCUCCAACCAGAAGGAUUGGGAUGCAAAAAGAAUUUGAGGAUGAUUUUGGCAGAGACCCCAGAUGCAUAGAUCCUGAGGAGAGAUACAGGGAUCACCUUGAAAACAUACAGCAAACAUCUCUGAGGCUGGCUCACAAACUGAAGGCCGAUCGGCUCCAACAGGAAAGGCGGCUGGCUAUCCUGCGUGAGAAAGCAAAGCUAGAAGCUCAAGAAAGCCAGAGGUCUUUGGAUGAGUUGCUCAAGCAUCAGUUAGCGGGGCUGAAUGGCUCCCAAGCCAACUGCACUGUGAGGGUAAGACUGAAGCAUGCUAAACAAGACCAGAGAAAAUACCAAUUUGAAGGUGAUCCCGAAAGACAUGAUACAGCCGAGGAUAGCUUUACAGCACAGUCUCCAAAACAAUCUGCACUGAAAACUGAAAUCAACUGCAAUGUGAUGGAUGCCAUAAAAGCCACGGAGAGAAAAUCCGCUGGGGAAAUGAACCUGGAUUCCUCAGCCCAGCAACAAGGUGACUAUCCAGUUAGGUGAUUCAGUGGCAUUUGGGGGCAAAUUUACAGAUGUCCUAC
rnacentral:lncRNA from 1 species